rnacentral:piRNA from 1 species
UGCAGCUUUGUGGAUGUAUGUGCU